ACUGAACGCUGGCGGCACGCCUUACACAUGCAAGUCGAACGGUAACAGGUCUUCGGAUGCUGACGAGUGGCGAACGGGUGAGUAAUACAUCGGAACGUGCCCGAGAGUGGGGGAUAACGAAGCGAAAGCUUUGCUAAUACCGCAUACGAUCUCAGGAUGAAAGCAGGGGACCGCAAGGCCUUGCGCUCACGGAGCGGCCGAUGGCAGAUUAGGUAGUUGGUGGGAUAAAAGCUUACCAAGCCGACGAUCUGUAGCUGGUCUGAGAGGACGACCAGCCACACUGGGACUGAGACACGGCCCAGACUCCUACGGGAGGCAGCAGUGGGGAAUUUUGGACAAUGGGCGCAAGCCUGAUCCAGCCAUGCCGCGUGCAGGAUGAAGGCCUUCGGGUUGUAAACUGCUUUUGUACGGAACGAAAAGACUCUGGUUAAUACCUGGGGUCCAUGACGGUACCGUAAGAAUAAGCACCGGCUAACUACGUGCCAGCCGCCGCCGUAA
rnacentral:rRNA from 1 species